AGAUUGAACGCUGGCGGCAGGCCUAACACAUGCAAGUCGAGCGGCAGCACGGGUACUUGUACCUGGUGGCGAGCGGCGGACGGGUGAGUAAUGCCUAGGAAUCUGCCUGGUAGUGGGGGAUAACGCUCGGAAACGGACGCUAAUACCGCAUACGUCCUACGGGAGAAAGCAGGGGACCUUCGGGCCUUGCGCUAUCUGAUGAGCCUAGGUCGGAUUAGCUAGUUGGUGAGGUAAUGGCUCACCAAGGCGACGAUCCGUAACUGGUCUGAGAGGAUGAUCAGUCGCACUGGAACUGAGACACGGUCCAAGACUCCUACGGGAGCAGCAGUGGGGGAAAUA
rnacentral:rRNA from 1 species